AGUGAGCGGCAACAGCUCAAAUUUGAAAGCUAGCCUUCGGGUUCGCAUUGUAAUUUGUAGAGGAUGAUUUGGGGAAGCCGCCUGUCUAAGUUCCUUGGAACAGGACGUCAUAGAGGGUGAGAAUCCCGUAUGUGACAGGAAAUGGCACCCUAUGUAAAUCUCCUUCGACGAGUCGAGUUGUUUGGGAAUGCAGCUCUAAAUGGGAGGUAAAUUUCUUCUAAAGCUAAAUAUUGGCGAGAGACCGAUAGCGCACAAGUAGAGUGAUCGAAAGAUGAAAAGCACUUUGGAAAGAGAGUUAAAAAGCACGUGAAAUUGUUGAAAGGGAAGCGCUUGCAAUCAGACUUGUUUAAACUGUUCGGCCGGUCUUCUGACCGGUUUACUCAGUUUGGACAGGCCAGCAUCAGUUUCGGCGGCCGGAUAAAGGCUCUGGGAAUGUGGCCUCCACUUCGGUGGAGGUGUUAUAGCCCAGGGUGUAAUACGGCCAGCCGGGACUGAGGUCCGCGCUUCGGCUAGGAUGCUGGCGUAAUGGUUGUAAGCGACCCGUCUUG
rnacentral:rRNA from 1 species